AGCCACACCAUGCAUGUUCCCCACGGUGCGCUGGCUUGAGGAGAAGGACGCUUCAGAUUCAGAUUCUGACACCAGUGCUGAGAUUGAUGAAGAUAAUAAGGUUGCCAGUGCUGAGGUUGAUGAAGGUGAGCACACAUACACAAACAAAUACACAGAUGUAGUGGCAUUGCAAGUACCAUUUCUUCAGGAAUGGUAAGAAUUCUAGUUAAGUCUGUAAAUGUAAAACUAUAGGUCACAGCUUACAAGUAAAGGUCCUUUUACAUUGAACGCAAUUUUCUUUCCAUGUCAACAUAAUAAUUACUAAUCAUUGAGCUGAAUGGGACUAAUAGCUUUACACUAAUGUAUCCCAUUAUCUAUUGAA